GUGGGGAAUAUUGGACAAUGGGCGCAAGCCUGAUCCAGCCAUGCCGCGUGAGUGAUGAAGGCCCUAGGGUUGUAAAGCUCUUUCACCGGUGAAGAUAAUGACGGUAACCGGAGAAGAAGCCCCGGCUAACUUCGUGCCAGCAGCCGCGGUAAUACGAAGGGGGCUAGCGUUGUUCGGAUUUACUGGGCGUAAAGCGCACGUAGGCGGUUUGUUAAGUCAGAGGUGAAAUCCCGGAGCUCAACUCCGGAACUGCCUUUGAUACUGGCAAGCUAGAGUCCGGAAGAGGUAAGUGGAACUCCUAGUGUAGAGGUGGAAUUCGUAGAUAUUAGGAAGAACACCAGUGGCGAAGGCGGCUUACUGGUCCGGAACUGACGCUGAGGUGCGAAAGCGUGGGGAGCAAACAGGAUUAGAAACCCGGGUAGUCC
rnacentral:rRNA from 1 species